CAAAUCAGGACAAGUGGAGAAAUGAUCCACAAUUUCAUUUGCUUCUUUUUCUCCAUAAUCUUUUCUUAGUCUUUCUUUUGUCCAUUCCAAUGCUCUUCUUGAAAUCAUCUCGUCAAUUUCACAAUCCAAAAUAAGAUUUUCUUGCUGACCUUGAAAAACAAAAGAAGAA
rnacentral:ribozyme from 13 species